GAUGAACGCUAGCUGGAGGCUUAAUACAUGCAAGUCGAGCGGGAUUGGAGUAGCAAUACUCCAUGAGAGCGGCGCACGGGUGAGUAACGCGUACACGACCUACCUCUGACAGGGGGAUAGCCCUGGGAAACCGGGAUUAAUACCGCAUAUUAUUCUGAUUAAUAAAGGAUUGGAAUGAAAGUUCAGGCGGUCAGAGAUGGGUGUGCGUCUGAUUAGCUAGUUGGUGAGGUAACGGCUCACCAAGGCGAUGAUCAGUAGGGGGCGUGAGAGCGUGGUCCCCCACACGGGUACUGAGACACGGACCCGACUCCUACGGGAGGCAGCAGUAAGGAAUAUUGGACAAUGGCCGCAAGGCUGAUCCAGCCAUCCAGCGUGCAGGAGGAAGGCCCUAUGGGUUGUAAACUGCUUUUAUCAGGGAAGAAACCUGUGGAUUUACUCCGCAGCUGACGGUACCUGAAGAAUAAGCACCGGCUAACUCCGUGCCAGCAGCCGCGGUAAUACGGAGGGUGCGAGCGUUAUCCGGAAUUACUGGGUUUAAAGGGUGCGUAGGCGGCUAUGUAAGUCAGGAGUGAAAGUUUGCGGCUCAACCGUAAAAUUGCUUUUGAUACUGCAUGGCUGGAAUUAGGAUGAGGUCAGCGGAA
rnacentral:rRNA from 1 species